rnacentral:rRNA from 1 species
AGAGUUUGAUCCUGGCUCAGGACGAACGCUGGCGGCGUGCUUAACACAUGCAAGUCGAACGGUAAGGCCCUUCGGGGUACACGAGUGGCGAACGGGUGAGUAACGCGUGAGUAACCUGCCCUUCACUCUGGGAUAACAGUUGGAAACGGCUGCUAAUACCGGAUAUUCAGCUCCUGUCGCAUGGUGGGGGUUGGAAAGUUUUGGUGGUGGAGGAUGGGCUCGCGUCCUAUCAGCUUGUUGGUGGGGUGAUGGCCUACCAAGGCGUCGACGGGUAGCCGGCCUGAGAGGGCGACCGGCCACAUUGGGACUGAGAUACGGCCCAAACUCCUACGGGAGGCAGCAGUGGGGAAUAUUGCACAAUGGGCGGAAGCCUGAUGCAGCAAUGCCGCGUGCGGGAUGACGGCCUUCGGGUUGUAAACUGCUUUCAGCAGGGACGAAGCGCAAGUGACGGUACCUGCAGAAGAAGCACCGGCUAACUACGUGCCAGCAGCCGCGGUGAUACGUAGGGUGCGAGCGUUGUCCGGAUUUAUUGGGCGUAAAGAGCUUGUAGGCGGUUGGUUGCGUCGAAAGUGCAAACUCAGGGCUUAACUCUGAGCCUGCUUUCGAUACGGGCUGACUGGAGGAAGGUAGGGGGGAAUGGAAUUCCCGGUGGAGCGGUGGAAUGCGCAGAUAUCGGGAGGAACACCAGUGGCGAAGGCGGUUCUCUGGACCUUUCCUGACGCUGAGAAGCGAAAGCGUGGGGAGCAAACAGGCUUAGAUACCCUGGUAGUCCACGCUGUAAACGGUGGGUACUAGGUGUGGGGGACAUUCCACGUUCUCUGUGCCGUAGCUAACGCAUUAAGUACCCCGCCUGGGGAGUACGGCCGCAAGGCUAAAACUCAAAGGAAUUGACGGGGCCCCGCACAAGCGGCGGAGCAUGCGGAUUAAUUCGAUGCAACGCGAAGAACCUUACCUAGACUUGACAUCUCCUGCAUUACCCUUAAUCGGGAAAGUUCCUUCGGGGACAGGAAGACAGGUGGUGCAUGGUUGUCGUCAGCUCGUGUCGUGAGAUGUUGGGUUAAGUCCCGCAACGAGCGCAACCCUUAUUGUUAGUUGCUACCAUUUAGUUGAGCACUCUAGCGAGACUGCCCGGGUUAACCGGGAGGAAGGUGGGGAUGACGUCAAAUCAUCAUGCCCCUUAUGUCUAGGGCUACACACGUGCUACAAUGGCCGGUACAGAGGGCUGCGAUUCCGUAAGGAUGAGCGAAUCCCUUAAAGCCGGUCUCAGUUCGGAUUGAGGUCUGCAACUCGACCUCAUGAAGUUGGAGUCGCUAGUAAUCGCAGAUCAGCAACGCUGCGGUGAAUACGUUCUCGGGCCUUGUACACACCGCCCGUCACGUCAUGAAAGUCGGUAACACCCGAAGCGCACGGCCUAACCCUUUUGGGAGGGAGUGUUCGAAGGUGGGACUGGUGAUUGGGACGAAGUCGUAACAAGGUAGCCGUA